UUUCCCUUUUUCUCGUAUUGUUCCAUUGCUGCAUUCUUGCAAUUGCAUUAUUUGGUAUUAGAUCACUUUCUUGAGUUUUGUGAAUAGUAAACAAAGGUUGAUGACAAGAGAGAGACAACGCUCAUGCUCAACAGAAUGACUAUGGAGACUUUAUACAAAUUCAAAUAGAGAUAGCGAAGUAAUUGUAAAUGGGUUUUAGUUGAUAUACACAAUCUAAUUAGAGGAGGGAUUUAAGAAGAUAGCGUUAGUGGCAUAUGUAGUACUAAUAAAUAAUUAAAAAUGGGUAAAUAGGGUAUUUUGUGUAGGUUUAAAAAGCAUUGGUAUUAUGAGUAAAUAUGUCUAGAAAAAGGUGUAUCAUGUAAAAAUGCUUAAUUUAUUCAGGAUGCAUCUUCUUUAUAGGGAUGGACAUAAAUAACUGAAAAAUGAAUUGCUGUGAGAAUUUCAGAAAUUGGUAUUCAACAAUUCACUCUACUCUCCAUCUGAAAACAACUCCUAAGAAGGAGAUAUUAGGAUUUUGAAAAAAAUAAUUAUUUCCUUCCUCUUUAAUGUUCAUUAAAUAUACUAUACUUUGACAAUGACAGAUAAAGUUUCUUUCAAACAAAAGUUUUGAGAGAAAUUGUACAUAUAAAACAUAAUACUUCAAUUGAUAUAGUAAACUAGAGAAAUCGACCGCGCUUCGCGCGUUUAUAUCAAAAAAUUAACUAUGAUAGAAAAAUUAAUGUUACAACUGUAAUGAGAAAAUAAUAUCUAAUUAAUUAAAUGUUAUAUUAGAGAGAAAUAUUUUUUCCUUCUUGAUGUAACUUGAAAAUAAUCAAAUAAAACAAACAAACAGAGAAGAGAGAGAGAGCAAUACAACUUUAAGACAUUACUAUAAUGUAUCAAUCCGAAUUAAAAAUCCAUGCCUCAUCCAUUGUAUUUAUAAGAUAAAAGUACAUCUUUUAUAAAGUAAGUGAAAGAUACAAACAAUAAAAUUUCAUUUCCCAUAAAGAUUAUUUAAGUUAUAUAUAGUUGUAUUUGACCUUCCGUCUAUACUAAUUUUGGCAAUUAUAGAAUAAAAAGACAAUUAGAUUUUUUUCCCCCUAUAUAUUCAAACUUCAUAUACCAUGACCACACAUAUGACACCAUCACUUUCUGUUACACCCUGCAUUUUCAAACCAUGAGCAUGACACGUACGUCGCCGUAGUAAUGGAGUGUCGGAGACGUCCCAUGAUGUUUUGGAAGGUACAAGCCAUGGGGGGUAUGUAACAAUGACGUAAAAGAUGAAUGACGAUCUCGUAAGUCGUAAUCGGGAAAGACUAUUUUGAAACACAAUAAUAUGACCAUUAUCAUGUAUAAUAAAUGAUAAAUAUCAUGUAUGAAGAGUUUCGGAAGGUUUCGAGGUCAAGCAAAUUGAAGAAAAUAAGUUCGACGAAAAUUUGAGAAAUGUUGAGUAGAUUUUUAGUCAACUUUGGAAGGGUAAAUCUCCAUGUAUAUUUGGAGUUUUAAGGUGAAACAAAAGCCUAAAAUUAAGUUCGUCGAGUCUAGUUUAUAAUGCAACAAACCAUUCAUCGAUAGGAUAUCAGAGUAGAGAAUUAUGAACGUUACAAACUGAGCUGUCGAUGCAGAAACAGGGCUGCUACAGUACUGCUACAGUACUGCGGACUUUGUCACUUAUAAAAGGGUCAAAAUCCCUCUUUUUUGGUCAUAAAAUCUUCCAAAAAUUUCCAGAAAAUUCAGCAAGCAAAGGGUUCUUAGAUCACACAAAAGAUGAGGAUUUGGGGUGAAAUUCAAGCUAAGGAAUAUCAAUCGAGGUCCGGGCAACGCGUAGACGCAAUUAUAAAUUCGUUUUGUGUUGGAAUGCGCUUGGAAACAAGUGGAUAUUGAAGAUUUUGCUACUUUACUAAAUAUAAGAUUACGAGGCGACGAAUAAUAUUAAGUGAAUUGCAAGACGAGAAGUAAGUUGGAAGUCGAGAAAUUAUCUUCCAGGUGUAUACAGAUGAGUAGAGGAUAUUGCUAGAAGAUGUUCCAGCUGGGUUGGCGAGCUCCAUUUCUUUCCGGAGUGUUGCCGAGUCAGAGUAUCUAUGUUACGAUAUAUUGAUUUGUGUUAGAGACUUUGCAGACAGAGUCACGUAUAUAGUAUGUCAUUCUUGCAAGCGGCUCUGCAAGCCGAUUUAUCAUUAUGCAUUAUAUUACAAAUUUCAUAAGAUUACAGAUUUUACUUGAAUUGAGAAAGACGAAAAGAAUGUUUUGAAAAGCUUUCAUUAUGCAUUUCAUUUCAUGACUUAAGAGUCCUGUGAGAUUAUGAGUAUAACGAGAACCAGCGGGUUCGCUCGACUCU